GGAACCGUUGGAAUCUUUCAAAUCAAAAAACCUACCUAGUGUUUUUAGAAAAUACACAAAAUCAUUUCAAGAUACAGUUUUCUGAAAAUAUUGCCCUAAACUACGAAUUGGGAGUGUCUGUAAGUACACUGAAAUUUAUACUUAAAUAAAUUAACUGUUUGUAGAUUUUGAAAACUGUUGCUUCAAUGCUCUCAGUCUUAAAUCAAAUAAAAAGUAUCGAUUACUCAAAAGAAAAAAUGUAAUAGUAUCACCCAACUUAUGCCGGAAAUCUUUUCAUAAAAAAUAUUAGCAGUUUAUAGUUUGUUAAUAGUUUUCGUUGUGAAUGGUUAAAUAAAGUUUAGUAAAGUCUUCCCCAUUUAUUUUGCUCAUCAAUAAACAUCAUUAUCAUAACUCUAAUUAAGAUCAUUAAAAUCUAAUAAAGCUUUUCUUUCGUUUUCUAUUUAGCCAUGACUCGCGACUAUUUAUGGAUUUUAGUCAAAAUCAAUUUGCAUUUUUUUGCCAAAAGAGCAUAAAACAUAAUUUCGAAAAUAAUUCUCCUCAUGUUAAUCAUUCUGACAACGAUUCAAACAAUUCUUUUUCUCAAUCGAUUCAAUAGCAGUUAUUUGAUCCAAUAUUUGCUAAGAUACGCUGGAAAUCUUUUCGUAAGUAACAAAUCACUUGUAUCUAUUUUUAAUUUUGUAGAUUUAUAAUUAUGGACUGAAACCCAAAUAAUUUUGUUUUUUUGCGUCAAUUUUUGAAAAUACUUUUUAAAUUUUAUUCGAAAGAUCUUUGAUUUAAAAAAGUAGGCUUUCAAGAUCAAAUUAUCAAAUUAUUAAUAAGGAACCGAAUAGCAUUUACCAAUAACCGUUAGUCAAAAAGAAUAGUAAAUAUUGACCAAAAAAAUUAUUUAGCUAGUGCGAGUGAAACAGAUCAUAAAAUCCAAAAAAACUAUUUGUAUUUCUUAAUUUAUAAAUUCACAGAAGUAGUAGUAUCCAUUUAUUCCAAAAAAACAGACAUCAAAGAAUCACCAUUAAAUAUUAAAAAACUUCCCUCUAUCAUUAACCGAAGCCCACUAACUCACUUAAUCUCGACUUGAAGUAAUGAGUGUGCAAAAGGUGUCCCCUGACAAUUUGUGGCUUUCGGCCAAAAUCUGCUUACACAUAUUCCAGUAUAAAGCAAUAAAAAUCAUUUUAAAAAUCCUCUCUUUAUCGAUAAUAAUCCUGACAUGUAUUCAAACGUUUCUCUAUUUGAAACGUUUCGAUAGCGCUUAUUUCAUGAAAUAUCUUCCGGUUUAUGCGGGAUCUCUUUUCGUAAGUAAAAAACUCGCACUUUUGGUUUUAUUUUUUAUAGAUUUUGGCAUCAAUUUUCUGUAUUGAGCACAUAUCACAUGUGAUAUUAUCAACUGUUGAGGAGUUUGAGUUUUGGGAUUACGCUGAUUCUAAACCAGAAAUCCGAAAUUGGAUAAAAUGGGAGGCACUUUAUAUUAACACUUUUAUGGUGGUUGACGCGUUUGUGGCAUAUUUAAGCGGAAUUUUUCACGCCAUUCCGCUUGAUGAAGACUAUGAGAUUUUUUAUCCGUUGCCCAUUUUCCAAGAGUUUUUUCCAGACUGGACCAACGUACUGGGGUGGCUUUACCGAUCCAGUUUUUUAAUAGUUCCGGUUGUAAUGACAGCGCCUUCAUUGAUGAUCAUUUAUUUUACUAGUAGAUUACGUUUCCAAAUGUUUUUGUUCAUGGAUAUUUUGGAAAAUAUAAGUGAGGGUUACGACAUUUCGGAAGCAAAUGAUUUAAUUGAAAAUUCUACGUAUCAAAAAGAAAUCAAAGAACGACUUAAAACUUGCAUCAAACGCCACAAUGAAUUUCUUUCAGCUGGAGGUCAAGUUAUGAAAAAUGGUCAGUUGUUCAUUUUGAUAAUGUCUGCUGCUGGAGUAAUACUAGGAGUCAGCAUCAUAUUUUUUCUCUUUUCAUUUGAAGGUUCAUUUGAGAAAAGAUACCCACGUUUAGUUACUUUAGUCAUAUCUACAGGACUCACCUUCACUCAUGUUAUCAUCGCUGGACAAUUAGUGGAAAAUAUUGCGACCAGACUUUACGAAAUUUUGCAUUUUAUGGACUGGCACUCUUGGAAUCAAGAAAACCGAAAAAUCUUACUUAUUUUCAUGCACAACGCUCAACAAGAACUUCAGAUUAAAUUUUUGGACGAAGUCGCAGUUAAUUACCAACUGGGUAUUUCGAUUGGGAAAGCCGUUUAUUCUAUGAUUUCAGUGCUGAGUUCCUUCAAGAAUUUAGAAGAGUCAUACAAUUAAAAAUAUGUAGGCCAGUGACCAGAAUUAGUAAAUAAAUAAUU